rnacentral:rRNA from 1 species
GUGAGUAACGCGUAAGAAUCUACCCUCANGUCGGGGACAACCACUGGAAACGGUGGCUAAUACCGGAUGUGCCGAGAGGNGAAAGGCUUGCUGCCUGGGGAAGAGCUUGCGUCUGAUUAGCUAGUUGGUAGUGUAAGGGACUACCAAGGCGACGAUCAGUAGCUGGUCUGAGAGGAUGAUCAGCCACACUGGGACUGAGACNCGGCCCAGACUCCUACGGGAGGCAGCAGUGGGGAAUUUUCCGCAAUGGGCGAAAGCCUGACGGAGCAAUACCGCGUGAGGGAGGAAGGCUCUUGGGUUGUAAACCUCUUUUCUCAGGGAAGAACAGAAUGACGGUACCUGAGGAAUAAGCAUCGGCUAACUCCGUGCCAGCAGCCGCGGUAAUACGGAGGAUGCAAGCGUUAUCCGGAAUGAUUGGGCGUAAAGAGUCCGUAGGUGGCAUUGAAAGUCUGCUGUUAAAGAGUCUAGCUCAACUAGAUAAAAGCAGUGGAAACUACAAAGCUAGAGUUUGGUCGGGGCAGAAGGAAUUCCUGGUGUAGCGGUGAAAUGCGUAGAUAUCAGGAAGAACACCGGUGGCGAAGGCGUUCUGCUAGGCCGAGACUGACACUGAGGGACGAAAGCUAGGGGAGCGAAUGGGAUUAGAUACCCCAGUAGUCCUAGCCGUAAACGAUGGAUACUANGCGUAGCUCGUAUCGACCCGAGCUGUGCCGGAGCUAACGCGUUAAGUAUCCCGCCUGGGGAGUACGCAGGCAACUGUGAAACUCAAAGGAAUUGACGGGGGCCCGCACAAGCGGUGGAGUAUGUGGUUUAAUUCGAUGCAACGCGAAGAACCUUACCAAGGCUUGACAUGUCACGAAUCCUGUAGAAACAUAGGAGUGCCUUAGGGAGCGUGAACACAGGUGGUGCAUGGCUGUCGUCAGCUCGUGUCGUGAGAUGUUGGGUUAAGUCCCGCAACGAGCGCAACCCUCGUUUUUAGUUGCCAGCAUUAAGAUGGGCACUCUAGAGAGACUGCCGGUGACAAACCGGAGGAAGGUGGGGAUGACGUCAAGUCAGCAUGCCCCUUACGUCUUGGGCUACACACGUACUACAAUGCUACGGACAAAGGGCAGCUACACAGCGAUGUGAUGCGAAUCUCAUAAACCGUAGCUCAGUUCAGAUCGAAGGCUGCAACUCGCCUUCGUGAAGGAGGAAUCGCUAGUAAUUGCAGGUCAGCAUACUGCAGUGAAUUCGUUCCCGGGCCUUGUACACACCGCCCGUCACACCAUGGAAGUUGGUCACG